GGCGGACGGGUGAGUAACACGUAGGUAACCUACCCCUGGGCGGGGGACAACUCCGGGAAACCGGAGCUAAUACCGCAUAAGACCACAGAUUGAGAUAUCUGCGGGAAAAGUGGCAACACACCUGGGGAUGGGCCUGCGGCCUAUCAGGUAGUUGGUGAGGUAAUAGCUCACCAAGCCAAAGACGGGUAGCCGGGCUGAGAGGUUGAACGGCCACACUGGAACUGAGACACGGUCCAGACUCCUACGGGAGGCAGCAGUGGGGAAUCUUGCGCAAUGGGGGAAACCCUGACGCAGCGACGCCGCGUGGAGGAUGAAGGUCUUCGGGUUGUAAACUCCUUUUCUUGGGAAAGAUAGUGACGGUACCCAAGGAAUAAGCCACGGCUAACUCUGUGCCAGCAGCCGCGGUAAGACAGAGGUGGCGAGCGUUGCUCGGAAUUACUGGGCUUAAAGGGCGAGUAGGCGGUAGGGCAAGUCCAGGGUGGAAUCCUAUGGCUUAACCAUA
rnacentral:rRNA from 1 species